rnacentral:rRNA from 1 species
GGGUUGUGAGGUUAAGCGACUAAGCGUACACGGUGGAUGCCCUGGCAGUCAGAGGCGAUGAAGGGCGUGCUAAUCUGCGAUAAGCGCCGGUAAGGUGAUAUGAACCGUUAUAACCGGCGAUACCCGAAUGGGGAAACCCAGUGUGAUUCGUCACACUAUCAUUAACUGAAUCCAUAGGUUAAUGAGGCGAACCGGGGGAACUGAAACAUCUAAGUACCCCGAGGAAAAGAAAUCAACCGAGAUUCCCCCAGUAGCGGCGAGCGAACGGGGAGGAGCCCAGAGCCUGAAUCAGCAUGUGUGUUAGUGGAAGCGUCUGGAAAGGUGCGCGAUACAGGGUGACAGCCCCGUACACAAAAGCGCAUGUGCUGUGAGCUCGAUGAGUAGGGCGGGACACGUGGUAUCCUGUCUGAAUAUGGGGGGACCAUCCUCCAAGGCUAAAUACUCCUGACUGACCGAUAGUGAACCAGUACCGUGAGGGAAAGGCGAAAAGAACCCCGGCGAGGGGAGUGAAAAAGAACCUGAAACCGUGUACGUACAAGCAGUGGGAGCACCCUUCGGGGUGUGACUGCGUACCUUUUGUAUAAUGGGUCAGCGACUUAUAUUCUGUAGCAAGGUUAACCGUAUAGGGGAGCCGGAGGGAAACCGAGUCUUAAUUGGGCGUUAAGUUGCAGGGUAUAGACCCGAAACCCGGUGAUCUAGCCAUGGGCAGGUUGAAGGUUGGGUAACACUAACUGGAGGACCGAACCGACUAAUGUUGAAAAAUUAGCGGAUGACCUGUGGCUGGGGGUGAAAGGCCAAUCAAACCGGGAGAUAGCUGGUUCUCCCCGAAAGCUAUUUAGGUAGCGCCUCGUGAAUUCAUCUCCGGGGGUAGAGCACUGUUUCGGCUAGGGGGCCAUCCCGGCUUACCAACCCGAUGCAAACUGCGAAUACCGGAGAAUGUUAUCACGGGAGACACACGGCGGGUGCUAACGUCCGUCGUGAAGAGGGAAACAACCCAGACCGCCAGCUAAGGUCCCAAAGUCAUGGUUAAGUGGGAAACGAUGUGGGAAGGCCCAGACAGCCAGGAUGUUGGCUUAGAAGCAGCCAUCAUUUAAAGAAAGCGUAAUAGCUCACUGGUCGAGUCGGCCUGCGCGGAAGAUGUAACGGGGCUAAACCAUGCACCGAAGCUGCGGCAGCGAACGUAUCACCCAAGACAACUUUACGGAGUUGACGAUUGACGGAGCGAAGCGACGUCAAAGCGUUCAUUAAAGUCGAGUUGGCUUAGGGAUACGUUCGUUGGGUAGGGGAGCGUUCUGUAAGCCUGUGAAGGUGUGUCGUGAGGCAUGCUGGAGGUAUCAGAAGUGCGAAUGCUGACAUAAGUAACGAUAAAGCGGGUGAAAAGCCCGCUCGCCGGAAGACCAAGGGUUCCUGUCCAACGUUAAUCGGGGCAGGGUGAGUCGACCCCUAAGGCGAGGCCGAAAGGCGUAGUCGAUGGGAAACGGGUUAAUAUUCCCGUACUUGGUGUUACUGCGAAGGGGGGACGGAGAAGGCUAUGUUGGCCGGGCGACGGUUGUCCCGGUUUAAGCGUGUAGGUGUGUGUUCCAGGUAAAUCCGGUUCACUUUAACACUGAGGCGUGACGACGAGGCACUACGGUGCUGAAGCAACAAAUGCCCUGCUUCCAGGAAAAGCCUCUAAGCAUCAGGUAACACGAAAUCGUACCCCAAACCGACACAGGUGGUCAGGUAGAGAAUACCAAGGCGCUUGAGAGAACUCGGGUGAAGGAACUAGGCAAAAUGGUGCCGUAACUUCGGGAGAAGGCACGCUGACACGUAGGUGAAGUGAUUUACUCAUGGAGCUGAAGUCAGUCGAAGAUACCAGCUGGCUGCAACUGUUUAUUAAAAACACAGCACUGUGCAAACACGAAAGUGGACGUAUACGGUGUGACGCCUGCCCGGUGCCGGAAGGUUAAUUGAUGGGGUCAGCGCAAGCGAAGCUCCUGAUCGAAGCCCCGGUAAACGGCGGCCGUAACUAUAACGGUCCUAAGGUAGCGAAAUUCCUUGUCGGGUAAGUUCCGACCUGCACGAAUGGCGUAAUGAUGGCCAGGCUGUCUCCACCCGAGACUCAGUGAAAUUGAACUCGCUGUGAAGAUGCAGUGUACCCGCGGCAAGACGGAAAGACCCCGUGAACCUUUACUAUAGCUUGACACUGAACAUUGAGCCUUGAUGUGUAGGAUAGGUGGGAGGCUUUGAAGUGUGGACGCCAGUCUGCAUGGAGCCGACCUUGAAAUACCACCCUUUAAUGUUUGAUGUUCUAACGUGGACCCGUAAUCCGGGUUGCGGACAGUGUCUGGUGGGUAGUUUGACUGGGGCGGUCUCCUCCUAAAGAGUAACGGAGGAGCACGAAGGUUGGCUAAUCCUGGUCGGACAUCAGGAGGUUAGUGCAAUGGCAUAAGCCAGCUUGACUGCGAGCGUGACGGCGCGAGCAGGUGCGAAAGCAGGUCAUAGUGAUCCGGUGGUUCUGAAUGGAAGGGCCAUCGCUCAACGGAUAAAAGGUACUCCGGGGAUAACAGGCUGAUACCGCCCAAGAGUUCAUAUCGACGGCGGUGUUUGGCACCUCGAUGUCGGCUCAUCACAUCCUGGGGCUGAAGUAGGUCCCAAGGGUAUGGCUGUUCGCCAUUUAAAGUGGUACGCGAGCUGGGUUUAGAACGUCGUGAGACAGUUCGGUCCCUAUCUGCCGUGGGCGCUGGAGAACUGAGGGGGGCUGCUCCUAGUACGAGAGGACCGGAGUGGACGCAUCACUGGUGUUCGGGUUGUCAUGCCAAUGGCACUGCCCGGUAGCUAAAUGCGGAAGAGAUAAGUGCUGAAAGCAUCUAAGCACGAAACUUGCCCCGA